AUUGAACGCUGGCGGCAUGCCUUACACAUGCAAGUCGAACGGCAGCACGGGUGCUUGCACCUGGUGGCGAGUGGCGAACGGGUGAGUAAUACAUCGGAACGUACCUUAUCGUGGGGGAUAACGCAGCGAAAGUUGCGCUAAUACCGCAUACGCCCUGAGGGGGAAAGCGGGGGACCGUAAGGCCUCGCGCGAUUAGAGCGGCCGAUGUCAGAUUAGCUUGUUGGUGAGGUAAAAGCUCACCAAGGCGAUGAUCAGUAGCUGGUCUGAGAGGACGAUCAGCCACACUGGGACUGAGACACGGCCCAGACUCCUACGGGAGGCAGCAGUGGGGAAUUUUGGACAAUGGGGGAAACCCUGAUCCAGCAAUGCCGCGUGAGUGAAGAAGGCCUUCGGGUUGUAAAGCUCUUUUGUCAGGGAAGAAACAGCAGCUCUAACACAGUCUGCGAAUGACGGUACCUGAAGAAUAAGCACCGGCUAACUACGUGCCAGCAGCCGCGGUAA
rnacentral:rRNA from 1 species